rnacentral:rRNA from 1 species
AUACAGAGGGUGCGAGCGUUAAUCGGAAUUACUGGGCGUAAAGCGCGCGUAGGCGGUUAUUUAAGUCAGAUGUGAAAUCCCUGGGCUCAACCUAGGAACUGCAUCUGAAACUGGAUAACUAGAGUUUAGGAGAGGGGAGUAGAAUUUCGGGUGUAGCGGUGAAAUGCAUAGAGAUCCGAAGGAAUACCAGUGGCGAAGGCGACUCCCUGGCCUAGAACUGACGCUGAGGUGCGAAAGCGUGGGUAGCAAACGGGAUUAGAAACCCUAGUAGUCC